rnacentral:rRNA from 1 species
GACGAACGCUGGCGGCGUGCUUAACACAUGCAAGCCGAACGCUGAGGCCAGGCUUUGGUUGGGGGGAGGAGUGGCGAACGGUUGAGUAACACGUGAGUAACCUGCCCCCUCCUUUGGGAUAACGCCGGGAAACGGGUGCUAAAACUGGAUAUUCCCUGGUUUUCGCUUGGGGGUGGGUGGAAAGGGUUUUUCGGGGGGGGGUUGGGCUCGCGGCCUAUCAGCUUGUUGGUGGGGUGAUGGCCUACCAAGGCUUUGACGGGUAGCCGGCCUGAGAGGGUGACCGGUCACAUUGGGACUGAGAUACGGCCCAGACUCCUACGGGAGGCAGCAGUGGGGAAUAUCGCACAAUGGGCGCAAGCCUGAUGCAGCGACGCCGCGUGAGGGAUGGAGGCCUUCGGGUUGUGAACCUCUUUCGCUCAUGGUCAAGCCGCAACAAUGGUUGUGGUGAGGGUAGUGGGUAAAGAAGCGCCGGCUAACUACGUG